CCUGCCUAUUUUACACACUCUGCACUAAACACACUCACACUACAUUCACUAAACACACUCUGCAAUACACACACUCACACUACAUUCACUAAACACACUCUACACUACACACACACACACUACAUUCACUAAACACAAUCUGCACUACACACACUCACACUUUUCACUCACUACAAUCACUAUACACACUUUGCACUCGCUGCAAACACACUACA